rnacentral:rRNA from 1 species
CCUACGGGAUGCAGCAGUGGGGGAUAUUGGACAAUGGGGGAAACCCUGAUCCAGCGACGCCGCGUGAGUGAAGAAGUAUUUCGGUAUGUAAAGCUCUAUCAGCAGGGAAGAAAGAAAUGACGGUACCUGAGUAAGAAGCCCGGCUAACUACGUUCCCGUAGCCGCGGUAAGACGUAGGGGGCCAGCGUUAUCCGGAAUUACUGGGUGUAAAGGGAGCGUAGACGGUAAUGCAAGUCUGGAGUGAAAGGCGGGGGCCCACCCCCCGGACUGCUCUGGAAACUGUGUAACGGGAGUGCAGGAGAGGCAGGCGGAAUUCCUAGUGUAGCGGUGAAAUGCGUAGAUAUUAGGAGGAACACCAGUGGCGAAGGCGGACUGCUGGACUGUAACUGACGUUGAGGCUCGAAAGCGUGGGGAGCAAACAGGAUUAGAUACCCUUGUAGUC